rnacentral:rRNA from 1 species
AGUGAACGCUGGCGGUAGGCCUAACACAUGCAAGUCGAACGGCAGCACAGUAAGAGCUUGCUCUUACGGGUGGCGAGUGGCGGACGGGUGAGGAAUACAUCGGAAUCUACUUUUUCGUGGGGGAUAACGUAGGGAAACUUACGCUAAUACCGCAUACGACCUACGGGUGAAAGCAGGGGAUCUUCGGACCUUGCGCGAUUGAAUGAGCCGAUGUCGGAUUAGCUAGUUGGCGGGGUAAAGGCCCACCAAGGCGACGAUCCGUAGCUGGUCUGAGAGGAUGAUCAGCCACACUGGAACUGAGACACGGUCCAGACUCCUACGGGAGGCAGCAGUGGGGAAUAUUGGACAAUGGGCGCAAGCCUGAUCCAGCCAUGCCGCGUGGGUGAAGAAGGCCUUCGGAUUGUAAAGCCCUUUUGUUGGGAAAGAAAAGCAGCAGGUUAAUACCCCACUGUUCUGACGGUACCCAAAGAAUAAGCACCGGCUAACUUCGUG